GUUGGUGAGGUAACGGCUCACCAAGGCUGCGAUGGGUAGCCGGCCUUAGCGGGUGAUCGGCCACACUGGGACUGAGAUACGGCCCAGACUCCUACGGGAGGCAGCAGUCGAGAGGCUUCCACAAGGGGGAAACCCUGAUGGAGCGACGCCGCGUGGGUGAUGAAGGUUUUCGGAUCGUAAAACCCUUUCAGCAGGGACGAUAGAAUCGAUUGAUAAUAUUUUUCGAUUUCAGACGGUACCUGAAUAAGAAGCUCCGGCUAACUCCGUGCCAGCAGCCGCGGUAAGACGGAGGGAGCAAGCGUUGUUCGGAUUUACUGGGCGUAAAGGGCGUCUAGGCGGAUUUGUAAGUCAGGUGUGAAAUCCCAUGGCUCAACCGUGGAACUGCACUUGAUACUGCAAGUCUUGAGUACGGAAGAGGAAAGCGGAAUUCCUGGUGUAGCGGUGAAAUGCGUAGAUAUCAGGAAGAACACCGGUGGCGAAGGCGGCUUUCUGGUCCGUUACUGACGCUAAAGCGCGAAAGUGUGGGGAGCAAACAGGAUUAGAUACCCUGGUA
rnacentral:rRNA from 1 species